rnacentral:rRNA from 1 species
AACGAACGCUGGCGGCAUGCCUAAAACAUGCAAGUCGAACGAAGUCUUCGGACUUAGUGGCGCACGGGUGCGUAACGCGUGGGAAUCUGCCCUUGGGUACGGAAUAACUCAGAGAAAUUUGUGCUAAUACCGUAUAAUGUCUUCGGACCAAAGAUUUAUCGCCCAAGGAUGAGCCCGCGUAAGAUUAGCUAGUUGGUGAGGUAAGAGC